GUUCAAUUCGCAGCGCAAUUAGCAGUUCGUCCUCUUUCCCGCAAUGGCACUAGAGGAGAGAGGCAGACUAAAUGAGAAUUGCAGAUAACAGUGCCUGUCUGGUUAUAUGUUUUGCUACACGGAGAGAGAGGCACAGAAAAUAAAUCUUCCCGCCAAACCAGCUUUUGUGUGGAAAAUCCUUAUUUACCAUCAAAAAUUAACACAACGCAGAGGAACAGCCGCUACACAAACUUGAGUUGUCUAUCCGAGGAAGAAAACUUUUGGGGAAAAAUGAAAGGAUCUACAUCUCAUCGCAACAUCUCAAGGAAAAGGUGCAGAAAAAUAGGAAAUAUUGAAGACUGAUUGAUCUACCUUGUUCAACCUUGCUCCACCCGUUUCCUCAUUAGGUUGAGGCUCCAGACAAAUUAUUUGUAAGCUCAUGUGAGGUGUGUCACAAAGGUUGGCUUGAAAUGACUUAGACAUAUGUGCACCCCUUUCAGUUGGCUUUUGUACAAGAGGUCAAGUCAAGAGGCUUAAAAAA